rnacentral:rRNA from 1 species
GACGAACGCUGGCGGCGUGCUUAACACAUGCAAGUCGAACGGAAAGGCCCUGCUUUUGUGGGGUGCUCGAGUGGCGAACGGGUGAGUAACACGUGAGUAACCUGCCCUUGACUUUGGGAUAACUUCAGGAAACUGGGGCUAAUACCGGAUAGGAGCUCCUGCUGCAUGGUGGGGGUUGGAGAGUUUCGGCGGUUGGGGAUGGACUCGCGGCUUAUCAGCUUGUUGGUGGGGUAGUGGCUUACCAAGGCUUUGACGGGUAGCCGGCCUGAGAGGGUGACCGGCCACAUUGGGACUGAGAUACGGCCCAGACUCCUACGGGAGGCAGCAGUGGGGAAUAUUGCACAAUGGGCGGAAGCCUGAUGCAGCAACGCCGCGUGCGGGAUGACGGCCUUCGGGUUGUAAACCGCUUUCGCCUGUGACGAAGCGUGAGUGACGGUAAUGGGUAAAGAAGCACCGGCUAACUACGUGCCAGCAGCCGCGGUGAUACGUAGGGUGCGAGCGUUGUCCGGAUUUAUUGGGCGUAAAGGGCUCGUAGGUGGUUGAUCGCGUCGGAAGUGUAAUCUUGGGGCUUAACCCUGAGCGUGCUUUCGAUACGGGUUGACUUGAGGAAGGUAGGGGAGAAUGGAAUUCCUGGUGGAGCGGUGGAAUGCGCAGAUAUCAGGAGGAACACCAGUGGCGAAGGCGGUUCUCUGGGCCUUUCCUGACGCUGAGGAGCGAAAGCGUGGGGAGCGAACAGGCUUAGAUACCCUGGUAGUCCACGCUGUAAACGGUGGGUACUAGGUGUGGGGUCCAUUCCACGGGUUCCGUGCCGUAGCUAACGCUUUAAGUACCCCGCCUGGGGAGUACGGCCGCAAGGCUAAAACUCAAGGGAAUUGACGGGGCCCCGCACAAGCGGCGGAGCAUGCGGAUUAAUUCGAUGCAACGCGUAGAACCUUACCUGGGUUUGACAUGGAUCGGGAGUGCUCAGAGAUGGGUGUGCCUCUUUUGGGGUCGGUUCACAGGUGGUGCAUGCCUGUCGUCAGCUCGUGUCGUGAGACGUUGGGUUAAGUCCCGCAACGAGCGCAACCCUUGUUCACUGUUGCCAGCACGUUAUGGUGGGGACUCAGUGGAGACCGCCGGGGUCAACUCGGAGGAAGGUGGGGAUGACGUCAAGUCAUCAUGCCCCUUAUGUCCAGGGCUUCACGCAUGCUACAAUGGCUGGUACAGAGAGUGGCGAGCCUGUGAGGGUGAGCGAAUCUCGGAAAGCCGGUCUCAGUUCGGAUUGGGGUCUGCAACUCGACCUCAUGAAGUCGGAGUCGCUAGUAAUCGCAGAUCAGCAACGCUGCGGUGAAUACGUUCCCGGGGCU